GACGAACCGUGCAAACGUUGUUCGGAAUCACUGGGCUUAAAGGGCGCGUAGGCGGCCUUCUAAGUCAGACGUGAAAUCCCCCGGCUUAACCUGGGAACUGCGUCUGAUACUGGGAGGCUUGAGUAUGGGAGAGGGAUGUAGAAUUCCAGGUGUAGCGGUGAAAUGCGUAGAUAUCUGGAGGAAUACCGGUGGCGAAGGCGGCAUCCUGGACCAUAACUGACGCUGAGGCGCGAAAGCUAGGGGAGCAAACGGGG
rnacentral:rRNA from 1 species